GUCUCUGUGGCGCAAUUGGUUAGCGCGUUCGGUUGUUAACCGGAAGGUUGGUGGUUCAAGCCCACCCAGGGACG
rnacentral:tRNA from 1 species